AUGGUGAGACGAGGGCCGUUCGACGGACUGUUCGGUUUCUCUCAGGUGGUAAACUACUUCAACUUGGGUUCCAUUAGCUUCGAGCUUCGUUGGAGACAUCAAUCAUCAUAUUCAUACCACUCCGAUGAACUGAUGAGUACUACUGUGAUCAUCAUAUUCAUUAUUCAGGGCGCCCUCCUGUCGGCCGCGCUUGUUGGGCUCCAGCAACAAGGGCUGGCCUUGAACAUGGUUCCUAGGGUGAAGUUCGUUAUGACCAUAUCCGGUGCGAAGAUCCAGUCGCCGGCAUUGGCUGCCAAGGCGUACGCCAACAAGAUCAACUGCACUUCGCUUCACUUCAUUGGUGACGGUGACUUCGUGAAAGCCCACGGCGAGGAGCUGGCGGACUCGUUCGUGGAUCCACUUGUCAUACGCCACCCGGCCGGGCACACGGUCCCCAGACUCGACGAGAAGGGCCUCCAGGCGAUGCUCAGCUUCCUUGACAAGAUCGAAAGUGGUCUGGCGAGAGAUUGA
rnacentral:rRNA from 1 species